ensembl:snRNA U6 U6 spliceosomal RNA
GUGUUUGCUUUGGCAGCACAUAUACUAAAGUUGAACUCUACAGACAAACUAGCAUGGCCCCUGUGCAACCAUGACAUGCAAAUUCAUGCAGCAUUCCAUAUUUUU